ensembl:lncRNA
CACGCUUGAAGCCCAGAAAGGGAUGGACAUCUGCCAGCAUUUUCUGUCUGUUGCUCUACCUUUUCCAGCAUAAUGAAUCUGUGGCCUCCAGAGAACAUUCUACAAGGACUGUGACGCAGGACACCUGCAGGGAGACCUGGCUCUCAUGAGCAGCUUCCACUUUGUGUGCAGCCUCCUUUGCAAGCCAGACCCCAUGCAACCUGUUGAGAAACCACAUUGCCAUAACUAACCCAUCAAGUCAAUUCUACCACCCCAUGGUGGAAACGCUCAGUGUGUCUACUCCAAACCUUCUUUGUUGAAAUACUUGUGCCAUUUAUUUGGAGGCAUCCUAUAGCCAACCAGAGUGUUGGGGACUCCAUAGCCAUGUGGAAAAGCAUGCGCUCCUGUGCUUACUUCCGGGAUGACGGAAGCCAACCACCGAGAGUGAGGUUUAGCUUGUCAGUAGAGGGCGCAGGAGCGACAUCGCAGAAGGAAGGCGCUACCCCACUACCCUCACCGGGGUUACUGGGCUUCCAUUCUGUUUUUCUUCUUGCUCCUCACCACUGCCAGAAGCCUCUGCCCCUGCCGCACACCCAGAGCAUGCACCUUCUCUGCAAGUUCUCAGAGAUCCGCAGCCGGCGACCCCCAACAGGGGCACCACUCACCCCAGGUCUCCACCUGUCCUGCCAACAAGCUGACUCUGUGCCCCAGCUGCCUCUGAACACCUGUCCUGCAGACAUAUGUUCUCUGCUUGCCGCAACCAUGGACCUGUUCUGGGUCAGGCAGCCCGAAGAACUCCACCAUUCAAUGGAGCUGAAAAAUCUCUUUUCCUUCACUGUCUGAAUCCGCCAUGGGGAAGAGGACCUCCUUCAAAGUGGUUCCUCCCCUGAUUUUCGUCCUCAGCCCUAGGAUAUUCUUUCAAGCAUUGUUUCGCCUUCCUAGUUAUGCCUACAUUAUAGUUAACUGUUCUUUGUAAUAGAUUUUCCCUUCCAAAUUACUGUGUGGUUUCUGUCUCCUGAUUGGACUUUGACUAAUAAACAUGUUUAUGUAGAGAGAGAAAAAAAGAAUGAAACAAAAACCAAAACAUGAACAGUGGUUAACUCUGGGUAGUAUAAUUAGAGGUUGCUUUUAUUCUGGUCUUUGUGAUUUGCAAUAUUUUCCAAAAUAUUUUGUAAGGAGCUUUUAUUUCAUGUAUUUAUUUUAGUUUCUAGUUUUAAGAUUGUUGUGCUACGUAUUUACCUGUGUAACAGACCUGCAUGUUCUGCACGUGUGUCCUGGAACGUAAAGUCAAAUAAAAUAGGAUUAUCGCG